GAUGAAGAACGCAGCGAAAUGCGAUAAUUAAUGUGAAUUGCAGAAUUCCGUGAAUCAUCGAAUCUUUGAACGCACAUUGCGCCCCCUGGCAUUCCGGGGGGCAUGCCUGUCCGAGCGUCAUUUCUGCCCUCCAGCCCGGCUGGGUGUUGGGCGCUGUCCCCCCGGGGACACGCCCCAAAGGCAGUGGCGGCGCCGCGUCGGGUCCUCGAGCGUAUGGGGCUUUGUCACCCGCUCGGGACGGACUCGUCGGCGCUGGUCUUCCUCCAGGCGACCCUUCGGGGCUCGUCUUCCUUCGGUUGACCUCGGAUCAGGUAGGGUUACCCGCUGAACUUAAGCAUAUCAAUAAGCGGAGGA
rnacentral:misc_RNA from 1 species